rnacentral:rRNA from 1 species
GACGAACGCUGGCGGCGUGCUUAACACAUGCAAGUCGAACGAUGAACCCGGAGCUUGCUCCGGCGGAUUAGUGGCGAACGGGUGAGUAACACGUGAGUAACCUGCCCUUGACUCUGGGAUAACUGCUAGAAAUGGUAGCUAAUACCGGAUACGACCCUCGGUGGCAUCACCAGGGGGUGGAAAGAAUUUCGGUCAAGGAUGGACUCGCGGCCUAUCAGCUAGUUGGUGAGGUAACGGCUCACCAAGGCGACGACGGGUAGCCGGCCUGAGAGGGUGACCGGCCACCCGGGGACUGAGACACGGCCCAGACUCCUACGGGAGGCAGCAGUGGGGAAUAUUGCACAAUGGGCGCAAGCCUGAUGCAGCAACGCCGCGUGAGGGAUGACGGCCUUCGGGUUGUAAACCUCUUUUAGUAGGGAAGAAGCGAAAGUGACGGUACCUGCGGAAAAAGCACCGGCUAACUACGUGCCAGCCGCCGCCGUAA